AAAAUCUGGAAUAAACAAAUGGAAAUCUAAAGUCAGGUUCAUGAGGUUCCAAUAAAUGCUAAAGGCACCACUUUAACAUUUGAAUCUGAUUCAGAAAACGUUACAUUCAUGAUAAUAAAAUUGUACGCCAAUCCAAACUAAUGCAAUUUCGUUUAGCUAAGGUCCACAAAAAGUGGCAAGAUAAUAGUUCCCUUUGCAAAAUAGUUCACUGAAUAAAGGUGGCAACAACAAUAAAUUAUAUAGACAAUACCUUAUUUAGGGGUAUGUAAUAGUAACUAUUUAAAAUUUCUUGAUAUUUAAUUUUAGUAAUAUAAAAUGCCCUAAUGACUUCUAGCUGUUGGUUUCUAGGUUAUUUAAGAUGACAUGAUAUUAAUCAAAUUAAAAAAAUUAUAUUUUCAUGAAUUAAUAGUUUCGGAUAAAUAAAUUUUGAGUUAUUAAAAUGUUCGAUUUAUG
rnacentral:misc_RNA from 1 species